UCUAAAUUAAAAUAAAGGCACACAGAUAAGUCCAUGCAUCUAACCUGGAGCUGAAUUAAACUGAUGCGGUGUCAGAAUCCAGGCAUCUUGAUAAUGAGUGGGCUGACUACAUGUUAACUGAAUUUACUCUUUCACAUUUCUGUUUUAUUUUGGUGACGACCUCACAGGAUAUAAUUCGGUGUGAGACAGAUGAUGGGACGUGUAUUCUGAGUGGAGAACAUGCACUGAGGAAAACCAAAACAUUUUGAUCUUCAUUUAUAUGGAAGAGUGAGGCCGACAAGUGAAAUACAGCAACCCAGGCUGCAGCCACCCGGAGCAUCCAAGGGGUUAAGCAGCCCUUAACCCUUCCACUUGACCUUGCCCAUCUUCGUAUUUCAGCACAGACAGUGGCACAGCUGUGCAGCGAUCCUCACCGGGGAGCAGCCAGGAUAAUGCAAGGGAAGAUCGAGAGCAGAGGUCUGAACAAGCUGCUUACAGUUUGGGAAGAGGAGCAUUUGAAAUUGCCUUCUGCUUCCAGGACCCCUGAACUGCUUUGAGGUUUUGGAAGCCAAACAGAACUGAAUUUUGGAGCUCCCCUUAUCUUUACAAUAAGCCAGAUCAGAACCCUGGAUCUUAAUUAACAUUUCUGCAUUUAGAAUUAUUUUUUGUGCACACAAUAGAGCUGAUUAUUACUGAGAGCGUCUUCAAAGAAGCUAAAUUAAUCUGAUAAAUCAAUGUGGCCAAUGCAGAUAAGUCUUGUGGAGCAUUUUAAAGCUGUACCAGGAUCUGUCAAAAAGAGUAAUGAAUAUCAGAUUUCCAAAUGUACACAUUUUGGGGGGAAGGAGUAAGAUAAAUGACACGCAUUAACUUCAAUAACUUGCGUGCAGUAACGUGAAGAUGCAAAUACGAAAAUUAAACUGGGUCAGCAGAUGCAAACUUGUAGACAAUAAUAAAGAAUGCUGAGACUGUUCUGAAUGAAGAGAAGAUGGCAAAGAACAGGAAAUGAUGUAUGGGAGCAAUGGCAUGACAUUUGUGCUCCUUCAGAUGUAUCCAACUCAAUAAUAAUAAUAAUCCUGCUGUGAAUUAAAUUUCAUUCCCUGUCACAUCCAAGUAAGGAGCAGUGCACCAAAGAUAUCUUGGUGGCAAACUCGUUGUAAAACUGAGGACAUCCAAAGGCUUCAGGCUGUGCCUACUGCAGAGGAAGAUGGCAAAGAGAGCCAAGGGCCAGCCCUGUGUUUCCAGCAAACAGUGGGGAGGAGUCCAGGAAACAUUCUCACUGCUCUGGGAGAAAACCUUAUUCUUGUGUAAGAGCAUCUUAUCACAGCGCCAAGCACCGCAUGACAGGUAUUUCAGGAUGCCAUGGUGCACAACUGGAAACAUCAGAUAGAGCAGCUAUUUUUAUUGGAAGUGCAAGUGAUCAAUUUCUACUGAUAAAAAAAGGCAUUAAUUUCUUCAGAUAGAGAAGCAAAUAGAAGAGUGUUACAUACAGAGGAGUGUAAAAAGAAAGAAGUCUAGCCUGAAAUCAAGAGGAAGAAAGAGGGUAUACCUGGAGUAAAGAUAAAAGGAAAUGGCACGGUAUUAGAGGAGAGUUAGCAUUAUCCUCCCAACAGGCUCUGACUCAGAGGUCGUGUCUCUGACCUCCCCUGGUGUCAAAGGCCGGGCUUGGCCAGCCUUCUCAAUAUUCUCAUAAGCCUUUCUGACAUUAAAGGAUGGGAGAUAGGCUGGAAAGCACUUAACAAAUUAAUAUGGGAUGUAUAUGCCCACAUCCAGUACUAGCCCUUUGGCUGGCUUCUGGAUUAGUGCUCUGUUGUAGCACACCGAUGUGUUGCUGCCCAUGGCUGACUCCUCCAUGGGCUUCAGGAGGAGUGGUUAUGUCAUUUAUAUUAGAUACAUACAUGUCAAUGCAAAGGUUGCUUAAUUUCUAUUUUUUGUAGUUUUCAUGUUCCCUUCGAGUUUCAGGUUCUAGCAGAAGUUUAAGCAAAGAUUAUCAGGAAUCUCACGAGAGUUUUUAGUCUAAAGACUUCUGGUCCAAAACAUUUGUGUACACAUCAGAUUAACAUCCAAUGUAAACCUUCUGUAAAUCAGCCCUUGCUGUUCCCUAACGAUCAGAGUAUGAAUUCCUAGCAGGCAAGUGAUGAAUUCCAUGGGUGUGCCUGCUAGGUUUUUGCAAAUAGCUGUAUUCUUGAAAUAUUUCUGUGAUUUAGUAUGAUCUCUUUUAAAGACAAAGAAUUACAGGGGAACCUGCAGAAGUGUUGCGUGGAGCAAUUCUCAGACUUGGAGCCAGAGCAGAAAAGCUGCAUCCUCUGAAAGAUGUGUUGCUCUUUCUGCCUUUGGAGUUAGGGGACAAGGGAUGAGAAUAGGUAACUUGUUUACAAGUUUUUCUUCUCUUUCAACUCUUCCAGCUCUUUAUGUCGCCUCUUUCAUAGGUGAUACUGAGACAGAUUUGCCAGCUAGAGCUGAAAGAUAAAAUAGAGCAGAUGAAGGGUUGGGGGGUUGGGGGGUGGGAGCGUUCUCUUUUU